rnacentral:rRNA from 1 species
GGGGGGGGGGGGGGGGGGGCCGGGGGGGGGCGGGGCGAGCGGACGGGCGGGGGGCGUGCGGCACUGGUGUUGGCGGCGGAGGGGGGAGGACCGCGUGGAUCACCUGGCUAUGAGCCUGGGGUGACUUCGGGAAGCCGGAGCUCCUGCCGGAUCAUAUUUUGAACCGCAUGGUUCACAAGUGAAGGCCGGUGUUGCUGUAACUUAUAGCGGGAUCCGCGCUGCAUUAGCUAGUUGGUAAGGUAACGGCUUACCAAGGCAACGAUGCGUAGCCGACCUGAGAGGGUGAUCGGCCACACUGGAACUGAGACACGGUCCAGACUCCUACGGGAGGCAGCAGUAGGGAAUCUUCCGCAAUGGGCGAAAGCCUGACGGAGCAACGCCGCGUGAGUGAUGAAGGUCUUCGGAUCGUAAAACUCUGUUAUUAGGGAAGAACAAAUGUGUAAGUAACUAUGCACGUCUUGACGGUACCUAAUCAGAAAGCCACGGCUAACUACGUG